GGGCAGGUAGAAUGCAGCUGCUCUCUGAACUAGAGAGAGGAAAGUCCGGGCUCCAAAGGAAAGCGCAACAGGGUAAUGCCUGUCUUUGCUUUAGUUAAUAAAGCAAAAGGAUAAGAGUCACAGAGACGAGAAAAGUGAAACGAGACAAUCUCUGCGCGGAGCAAGGCGAAUAGUCCCGCCUUCUUUAUUCCUUUUUAGGAAUGAAGUUAGGGGUGAUCCGCCCGGAAACGGCGGGAGGGUAUUAAGCUGCUUAAGCCUUUAAGACCGCAAGGCCUAAAGUGCUAAGAGGAAUAGCUGCUUUAGAUGCGAAUAACCGCAAUCGACACAGAACCCGGCUUAUUCUGCCUGUCCUUUA
rnacentral:RNase_P_RNA from 1 species